CUCGUCCUAUGUUGCCAGCGAGUUCGGGGACUCAUAGGAGACUGCCGGGGUCAACUCGGAGGAAGGUGGGGAUGACGUCAAGUCAUCAUGCCCCUUACGUCUUGGGCUGCACACAUGCUACAAUGGCCGGUACAAAGGGCUGCGAUACCGCGAGGUGGAGCGAAUCCCAAAAAGCCGGUCUCAGUUCGGAUCGGGGUCUGCAACUCGACCCCGUGAAGUCGGAGUCGCUAGUAAUCGCAGAUCAGCAAUGCUGCGGUGAAUACGUUCCCGGCCUUGUACACACCGCCCGUCACGUCACGAAAGUCGGUAACACCCGAAGCCGGUGGCCUAACCCUAGGAGCCGUCGAAGGUGGGACCGGCGAUUGGGACGAAGUCGUAACAAGGUAGCCGUACCGGAAGGUGCGGCUGGAUCACCUCCUUUCUAAGGAGCGUUCCUCCUGGGGGCGGGUGGUCCAGGGCCAGGGCCGGGCGAGUGUCCCGGUCUGGUUGCUCGAGGGCGUGGACGCUGACGCCUGCCGGUCGCUGCCGGCUCCUAGUACGGGUGGGAACGGGGUCGGUGGGGGUGGGCGUCGCUGGCACGUUGGGUCCUGAGGGAGCGAGCUUCUUCGGUGACUACGGCGGGGGGCGGGGGGCUUCGGUCGCGCGGGCCGCGGUACCGCGUCUGGUCGCGGUGGCGGGGGGCCGUCUGUACUUCGAGAACUGCACAGUGGACGCGAUCUUUGUGGCCAAGUUACUAAGGGCG
rnacentral:misc_RNA from 1 species